UUUUAUUUGAGCCUUGAGCUUGGGUAACUUUGUUUCAUUUUCGCAUUUAGACUUGUCUUGCUUCGUCUCUGUUUGUGUACUUCCCAUCCUCCUGUCACUGUGUUUAUCUUUCGCGCCACGCACCGUUACGGACUAGUCCAUUUCAUUGUGAAAGUAGGGGGUGUAUG